CCUACGGGAGGCAGCAGUGAGGAAUAUUGGUCAAUGGGCGCGAGCCUGAACCAGCCAAGUAGCGUGAAGGAUGACUGCCCUACGGGUUGUAAACUUCUUUUAUAAAGGAAUAAAGUGCGGCACGUGUGCCUUUUUGUAUGUCCUUUAUGAAUAAGGAUCGGCUAACUCCGUGCCAGCAGCCGCGGUAAUACGGAGGGUCCGAGCGUUAUCCGGAUUUAUUGGGUUUAAAGGGAGCGUAGAUGGGUUGUUAAGUCAGUUGUGAAAGUUUGCGGCUCAACCGUAAAAUUGCAAUUGAUAAUGGCAGGCCUGAGGACAGGUGAGGUAAGCGGAAAUUGUGGUGUAGCGGGGAAA
rnacentral:rRNA from 1 species